rnacentral:lncRNA from 1 species
CCUACUUACAUACUUUACUACAUUUGAUAAAAAGAGGGUUUAAUUUUGUGUGUUAACUUAUUUUUCACAUCAUCUAUCAACAAGUAGAAGAUAUCAUUUUCUUGUUUUGCAAUGGCUACCUCAGGUAUCAUGUUAACAUCUGUUAGUAAUCUAGGAAACUUGUUAAUAUUAUAUACUACUAGUUUUCUAACAUUUGGUAUUAGAGCCAAAUUAACAAAUCCUAGAUUCGAAUGUAUGUGUCAAACUGCAUAUGUUUUCAGCAUGUGAAUUUUGUAUGAAAUGUGUUGAACCAAAGCACAUAACAGCAUCGACAGUAGCACUCAUGCUUUUCAUUAUUCCAUCCAACAACACAUGACAGCACCGAUACUUUCAAUAAAAUGCAUGAGGUAGUCUUGCCUCAGAAGUUUUUUAAUGUCAUGCAUCACUUACGAUAAUAUUUUGAAUUCACCAAAGUGAAUGAUUUGGAUGUAUAUUCUGGCAAAGAAGGGUUUAAAGAUUCAUUGCAUGUUCAUACUCUUUUCCAAAGGAAAGAGUAUAUAAAAUGCCUAAGGUUUCAAUGAAUCAUUCCUUGUAUAAUCUUGUAAUUAUCUUGUCCAAAGACUUGAUAUAUCUGUGAUAAAAGAUGAUUGAAGUGGUCAGAAUGUACAUGAUGACUUUGAAGGGGUGUUUAUAUUUCUAACCAAAAGGGGAUAUAUGAACAUGUGUAAGUGAUGCAUGAAAUUAAAAUUGUAUUUAUUGUUUUAUUUGGCUACCUCAGCAACAUCAUCUACACUUAGCCUUUCAUCGAUCGAGCCUCUCAAUGGAGGAAACUUCAAAAGGUGGAGACAAGACAUUGAGAUUUUGCUGGGCCUGAUGGAUCUCGAUUUAGCAUUGAGAGAGGAUGAACCUGCACCACUGACUGACACUUCGACUGCUGAGCAAAGAUUGAAGCAUGAAAAGUGGCAGAAAGCCAACUUAGCAGGCCCUAGAUCCAUUGUAUAAUUAAAUUGCAUGACAGAGAUAACAUGGUACUCAACUGUUUUGGUUAUUGCUGGUUUCUAUUUUGUUAAUAACUACAUCACUUUGGAUUCUACAAGAGAUACCAUUAUCCCGGGCUCGAAGGUACGACGGGAGGUCCACAAUACCAAUGCUUUAGUAUGCGAAGAGGAAUGAAGUGGUCUGCAAUGAGAGCUUCCAUAUAAUCCAAUUGUUGAACUCCGGACUCAAUGAGUUGGUUCGUAAUCCAGGUCUGGAUCUUUCACCAACACCAUUAAAGCCUAAGAUUGAGAAGUGGAAUAGCAUAAUCUACCCCAAUUUCUCAACAAGAAAAUGAUACAGCGGUGAACAAGUCGUUCGACACACUGGACACGAUCGAAGAUCAUUUAAGCAGUUGAAGAUACCUGUGUGGAGAUGAACUCACACUUGCAGAUGUUUGCUUGUUCACUACGUUAAUCCGAUUCCAUCUCAUUCACAAUUCGGUUCUAUUUUUUCCUGCUCCUAUACUGACAGUUUGGUUUGCAGUAAAAUGUUAAGAACAUUGUUCUAUUACAGUAAAGGAAGAAUAUUUGUGGUUUAAAACUCAUGAAAUGUUCACAUUCUUUUCCAAAGAUGGGGAUGUAUAAGUUUUUGGUAUUUUUAAUCAGUGUAUGGUAUCAUGUAGAUCAGGUCAUAUUCUUGUCCUAAGACUAUAAUAAAUGCAUGAUAAGAUUCUUGAAUGAUGGCUAUACAAUGAAGGUCAAUGGCAGCUUAUAUCUCUUGCCCAAAGGUGCGAUAUAAACAUGCAUUUAACAAUCACUAAUGGUUGUUUCAAGUUUUUCAUGUCUUUGAUAGCCAAAUUUUUAUUCAUUGCAAGAAACGGAAAGACAAAGGCUCUUCUUGAUGGGUGUAGAGGUUGCGUACACCCAAGCGCACCAGAUUUUGAAUCAACUGAAAUGUGGGAGUAAAGAAAGCACUGCUGCAUAAUUUUGAUAGCAUCUGGACCUGAUGCUUGGCUUAUCUUAUGUUCCUUAUGGUGAUGCUUGGCUUAACUUAUUUUCCCUGUGGUUAUUGUAAAUAAUGCCAUGUUGAUUCAGUUUAUGAUAUAUAUUAGUACAAUUGACUUAUGUUCCAAAGAGCAUGUUGGUUUCGUAUGUUUAUGCAGGAAGCUUGAAAAGCUAGUAUCCAGUGAUUAAGGUUGAAGGCAACAUAAAGUUAGCUUUAUAAAGGUACACUGGGUAAUUGCAUGUAUGAAUGUGUAUUUAUAUGUAUUUGCAUGAUUUUCAGUAUGCCAUUACAAUUAUGAAGUGACGGUUUAAGACUGAGUUGCAGUAAUAAAUAUGCAUGUGCUGAAUCUUUAUGAUUAUUCUGAGUUAUAUAGCUUAUAUAACACAAAGUGGUAUAUGAUUUUCAAUUCAGUAAAGGAACUGUGAUUAUCCAAAGAUGAUCCAUAAAGUUGAUUGAAUUGAUUCAUAGAAAAAUGAAUGUUAAGUUCAUUGAAAGUUUGACAUCAUACAGAUUAGAUUCAAAUGACAGUGAUUUUAGAGUGCAUGUGCCAAUGAGCUGCACAUGGUUUUCUAGAGUUCGACAUUUGAACUAAUACUGGUAGAUGUGGGGAAGCAAAUUACGUGUAACUGGAUGUGAUCACUAAGGAGUCGAUAUUGUAAUUGUAAUAACAUUUCGAUGAAAUGAUUAGUUUACGUCCAAGUGGGAGAAUGUUAGAAACUUAAUUGGACUAAACUAUCAUUUAGUGAAGGAAGAAAUGUAUUUGGUAACAAUACAAUUUGACAUAAGUUGCAAACGUGGAAAAAAACUGCUACCUAUUAUUAAGGAAAUAUGGAUAACAAUUGUGGAGAUAACUUACGUCCCACUUAUUUGAUGAAACUGCUGUUAACUGACAAAAACCAACUCUCCAUGAUAGAGGGAAGUUGGUGAAUGUUAAUUUAUAUAAGGACUCCCUGCUUGUAAAGAAAGGUUCUGCGUAUCACCUUAAGAACAUUAAGUCUUUCAACGAGUAGAAGAUAUCAUUUUCUUGUUUUGCAAUGGUUGCCUCAGGUACCAUGUUAACAUCUGUUAGUAAUCUAGGAAACUUGUUAAUAUUAUAUAGGGUAAAGUACAAAAAACUACUUCAACUAUUGGUGUCACGACACUUUCAUACCUCAUCUUUUAAAAUUGACAAUGUCAUACUGCAUCUUACGAAUUUGUGACAAUGUCGUACCUCCGUCAGUUUUUCUAUUAAUUUCUCUGUUAAAUGCUGACGUGGCCCAACACGUGUCCCACUCACUAAUCCAAUUGGAUUAAAAAAUAAUAAAAUAUAUUUUUAAUAAUCAAAUAUUAAAAAAUUAAGAAUAAUAAAAUAUAUAUAUAUAUAUAUAUAUAUAUUAAAUCUCUCUCACUCUCUCCUCUCUCUCUCCCCCCUUUCUCGCCACUCUCUCUUCUCUGCAACCCAAAACCCCUUCCCACUCUCUCUCUUCAUGCCUGUAAACCAACCAAUCAAACCACCCAACUAAAUUGAUAUGCCUGUAAACCAACCAAUCAAAACAUCCAGUCACUUUCUCGCCACUCUCUCUUCUCUGCAACCCACUCUCUCUCUCUCCCCCCUUUCUCGCCACUCCCUCACUCUGCCAACCCAGUUUGUCCCCCCCCAACCCAACGCACACUCAUCUCUCCUCCCCCAUCUUCACCUUCUUCCCCUUUUCCCUCUACCUGCAACCCAGAAACAAAAAAAAAAAAAAAAAAUUCGAACCCAGUUUCGGCCCAAGAAGAAGAAGAAGAACCCUCUUUGUCUCCUCCCCAUCUUCAUCUUCGUCCCCUUUUCCCUCUACCUGCAACCCAGAAAAAAAAAAU